rnacentral:rRNA from 1 species
UACAGAGGUCCCAAGCGUUGUUCGGAUUCAUUGGGCGUAAAGGGUGCGUAGGCGGCGCGGUAAGUCGGGUGUGAAAUCUCGGGGCUUAACUCCGAAACUGCAUUCGAUACUGCCGUGCUUGAGGACUGGAGAGGAGACUGGAAUUUACGGUGUAGCGGUGAAAUGCGUAGAUAUCGUAAGGAAGACCAGUGGCGAAGGCGGGUCUCUGGAUAGUUCCUGACGCUGAGGCACGAAGGUCAGGGGAGCAAACGGG